GCCAGCCGCCGCGGUAACACCGGCGGCCCGAGUGGUGAUCGUGAUUAUUGGGUCUAAAGGGUCCGUAGCCGGUUUGGUCAGUCCUCCGGGAAAUCUGAUAGCUCAACUAUUAGGCUUUCGGGGGAUACUGCCAGACUUGGAACCGGGAGAGGUAAGAGGUACUACAGGGGUAGGAGUGAAAUCUUGUAAUCCCUGUGGGACCACCUGUGGCGAAGGCGUCUUACCAGAACGGGUUCGACGGUGAGGGACGAAAGCUGGGGGCACGAACCGGAUUAGAUACCCGGGUAGUCCCAGCCGUAAACGAUGCUCGCUAGGUGUCAGGCAUGGCGCGACCGUGUCUGGUGCCGCAGGGAAGCCGUGAAGCGAGCCACCUGGGAAGUACGGCCGCAAGGCUGAAACUUAAAGGAAUUGGCGGGGGAGCACAACAACGGGUGGAGCCUGCGGUUUAAUUGGACUCAACGCCGGACAACUCACCGGGGGCGACAGCAAUAUGUAGGCCAAGCUGAAGACUUUGCCUGAAUCGCUGAGGAGUGGUGCAUGG
rnacentral:rRNA from 1 species